rnacentral:tRNA from 1 species
UGGGAUAUCGCCAAGCAGGUAAGGCAAUCGUUUUUGGUGCGAUUAUUCAUAGGUUCGAAUCCUUUUAUCCCAA